GCACGGAAGUUAGCCGGCGCUUCUUCUGUUGGUACCGUCAUUAUCUUCCCAACUGAAAGAUCUUUACAACCCUAAGGCCUUCAUCGAUCACGCGGCAUGGCUAGAUCAGGGUUUCCCCCAUUGUCUAAGAUUCCCCA
rnacentral:rRNA from 1 species